AUCCUUGGGCGAAGGGCGGUUACAGUGUAGUUGACGUUUAUUCGGAUACCUGAUAAUUGCUAAUUGAAAACUUCAAGUCCAAUUCCUAUGCUUAAGAGUCAGUCUUAAGUUAAUAUUUAAAGCCUAUUUUAGG